GCCCAGUCUCCUGCGGAGCCCGUCUAUACCCCAUGGUCCUUACGGAGUACCCAGCAUCCACUACGGACUACGAGAAAUAGAAUUACCGGUGAGUAAAUUCUUAUUUUUACUGGAAACAGUCACACAUAAUUAUGUUUGGCGCUACCAAGUCACGCACUAGAAGGGCUUUUUAAUGUGCAGGGAGGCUAGCUGUAAGUGGACACAUCUGUUAUUUUAUCCAGAAUCCUGUGUUCUUGAAAAACCAAGCUGUUUCAUGGAUGUAGAUUUAUCAAACCUUGGAGAGAAUUAAAGUGGAGAGAGGUAAAGUAUCAGCCAAUCUACUUCUGCCAAUUUUCAAACACAGCUUGUAAAAUGACAGGAGCUGAUUGGCUGGUACUUUAUCUCUCUCCAAUGUUUUAUACAUCUUCCCCUUUAUUUUAAAUGUGCAGCUUCUGUUCCUUUAAUUUGUGUUGACAGGAUUGUCAGAUAAGUGCACAUUUAGUCAGAGAAAUUAGAUGAUGCUGCUUUGCGUUUCCGAUACAAAGCCACAAGCGGCCUACUGUGAGUAUCUAGGUCAUGAUUUAUUUUCUAGACCAUACAUAUAUUUUCUAAAGUUUUUUUAAACAUUUUAAAUGAAAGCGAUGAUGCUGCUGUCCGUCUUUACAAACCAGUUCUAUAAUCAGUAUGACCUCUUCAUAUUAUAGUACUGUGCACAAUAAUGUUAGUGCCGCUGACAGAAUGUAUAAAGGUGCUCUUCAUUCCGUUGCUGUUCCUCCUAGUAAAAGAAAACAAAUUAAUGUGUAUGUAGUGUACUAUGAAUCAGGGCUGGAUUUCCCACAAUGUAACCUAGGUGUCCUCCUAAGUCUCAGUGGGUCUCAAGGUGUCCAUAGUCAGGACCCACGAAAUCCGGCCCAUCCAUGUUCGAUCACAAAGGCUGACUACUAGUUCAAUGUUUUACAGAGGCUCAGUAACAAGGCUCAGACCAGUAUUAACAUCACUAAUACUGCCACUGAGAUUCAUUACUGUGCCCCUGCAAAAUGUUCCCAUAAGAGCACUGUGUGACGACCACAUGGCUUCAUGGUGUCACAUGGUCCCACCCGCACUCCCAGAGUCCCACUGUCUGCAUUGUAUUAGAGGGCCCCCAGCCACAGUACAGUAGUACCUGCCACUGCCAGCACGCAGUAACAGUGAGGGACGGAGAGAGGCAGAGUCAGACUGCAGAGUGGGAGCGAUGGGACGUGUGUACAGCGUGCGCCGCGUUCAUACGCGGUGACGUCACUUGCCGGUGCCAGAGACCCGGGCCGGGACUCCCGCGCCCGGGAGCGCCGCCAAUCACUGGGCUACAGCAUGUUUGUUAGAGGGGAUUUAAGGCUGCCUUAUGAUGGAAAAAUAGCACUUUCUCUAACUGGUUUAUCUACAGCACUAAAGAUGUGUGUCAUUCUGCAUAUGGCUGCAUUUUCUGCGCACAUGUAUUUUACACUAAACAAACAGACUUAAAUAUCUGAAACUCAGCAGGAGGACCUAUGUUUCUAUAAAGUACUUCUCAUCAUUUGAAAUGGAAA